AUCGGCUAGAGUGCGGACUGUUAGUUUCAGUGAUAGUGUUUUUCCAUUUCCUAAUUAAAGUUUCCGACUAGAGUAUCACAAGAAGCGAAAACUCUGCGCUCUUGUGCAAUUCUAAAUCUGUACAAAAGCGUCCAACGGGCGCUUUUUUAUCCGAGCGACAAGCUCGUUGGCAUUUUCCCGCCAUCUUUUUGGAAUUCGUCCACGUGAAGACGAUUACGGUGACGACCAUGCUCAUCCUGGCCCGCCAGUUCCUUGGCAGUCAAACGGACGGAGUGGACCCUUUCCAGCCUUCCUGCGUUCGGCGACGAAUGAUCUGGUAGCGUACUGGACCAGCCGAUACCCUCCCCCGCAUCUAUAUUUCGGCCAUCAAGGAUUGGAGCUAUUUCCGCACGGUCGGUGGCAGCGUGCAACGCCCACCCGAGGAUCUUUUUUGCC